CAAUUUCAACCAUAAUACAGCUACAAUUUUCUCUUUCAAAACAUCCCAAAAAAUAUUGCUAGAGAGAUGAAGAUAGACUUGUGAAAGUGAUUUUUGAUUCUUCGAUUGUUUCUCUUCCAUUAUCCAACUUGUGGCAUUUUGUCAAAUCCCAACAACGCGUUAUCCAAAUCCAUCAGCACUAAUAUAACUCGCCACAUUAGCCCCCAAUGAGAAUCUUGUAUUACAA
rnacentral:lncRNA from 1 species